AUGACCAACUUUAGAAUUAACAGCAAAUUAUCUUGAGAUAACUCUGAAAGACUCAAUCUCCAAGUAGAAAGACAGCACAUUGGCUUGGUUUUCAUAAUGACGUAGGGACCGAAUUAUCAGCCCAUUGUUGUUAGUUUAUGGUGGAGAUCUACCAAGACACUAAUCUAAUCUAACAUGAUUAUGGGUGCAAAACCUAAUUAAAGCGAUAGGUUUAUUGCUUGUGGACAUCAC
rnacentral:lncRNA from 1 species